rnacentral:misc_RNA from 1 species
GAUGAAGAACGUAGUAAAAUGCGAUAAGUAAUGUGAAUUGCAGAAUUCAGUGAAUCAUCGAAUCUUUGAACGCACAUUGCGCCCGCUGGUAUUCCGGCGGGCAUGCCUGUUCGAGCGUCAUUUCAACCCUCAAGUCCCCUGUGGACUUGGUGUUGGGGAUCGGCGAGGCUGGUUUUCCAGCACAGCCGUCCCUUAAAUUAAUUGGCGGUCUCGCCGUGGCCCUCCUCUGCGCAGUAGUAAAACACUCGCAACAGGAGCCCGGCGCGGUCCACUGCCGUAAAACCCCCCAACUUUUUAUAGUUGACCUCGAAUCAGGUAGGACUACCCGCUGAACUUAAGCAUAUCAAUAAGCGGAGGA